rnacentral:rRNA from 1 species
UACGUAGGUGGCAAGCGUUGUCCGGAUUUAUUGGGUUUAAAGGGUGCGUGGCGGCUUAAUAAGUCAGCGGUAAAAGGUAGCAGCUUAACUGUUUUACUCGCCGUUGAUACUGUUAGGCUUGAAUGUACGGGAGGCAGAUAGAACUCCUGAUGUAGCGGUGAAAUGCAUAGAUAUCAGGAAGAAUACCGAUUGCGAAGGCAGUCUGCUGUAGUACGAUUGACGCUAAGGCACGAAAGCAUGGGGAUCAAACAGG